rnacentral:hammerhead_ribozyme from 1 species
GUGCUGCUGAAGAGUCCCAAAGUAAGCUGGAGGAAACAGUUGUCCAGUAC